rnacentral:rRNA from 1 species
AUUGAACGCUGGCGGCAGGCCUAACACAUGCAAGUCGAGCGAGCGGCGGACGGGUGAGUAAUGUCUGGGAAACUGCCUUAUGGAGUGGGAUAACUACUGGACACGGUAGCUAAAACCGCAUACCAUCUGACGUGCCCAGAUGGGAUUAGCAUGGAGGUGGGGGAAUGGCCCACCUCGGCGACGAUCCCUAGCUGGUCUGAGAGGGUGACCAGCCACACUGGAACUGAGACACGGUCCAGAAUCCUACGGGAGGCAGCAGUAGGGAAUAUUUCGCAAUGGACGCAAGCCUGAUGCAGCCAUGCCGCGUGAGUGAAGAAGGCCUUCGGGUUGUAAAGCACUUUCAGCAGAGAAGCGUUACCCACAGAGGAAGCCCCGGCUAACUACGUGCCAGCCGCCGCGGUAAUAC